AGAUGCUGGAACUCCUUCCUUUGGAAUCGGUACAUGGCCAUGAAGAUGGUUUUGAUACCUUCAAGCCCAGUUCUUCAGCAUCAAUGCAUGGUCUGGGUAACUCAUCCAAGUCUGCAGUAAUUGAAUACAAGGUUGAUGACAGCACGCCUGAGCUCAGUGGU